CUCCACGUGGUGGCACCGUUCAGAAAGAUUGGAGAACCUUACAAUGUGGAACGUGACUACAGGAAGUGGAUCAGUAGAGCCUCGCCUUACAGGUCAUAGUCAAGCCUGUUUCUAACCCAAGUUCUUCCCCUCUCUGUCUCUGCUUCCUGCUCUGUGGAAAUUUGAGGAAUCCUAGACACAUUCUCCACAGUGUGAAGUCUGUUGUGCCUUCUCUGCUGUUGUAAAUGAAGACUGCUCAAACUCUUUCUAAUUUAUCAGGCUCUGGUGCUCUCACAGACCUUGGGCAGGGCACUUUAUUUCCCUGAACAUGAGGUCCCUCAUCAGGAAAUGUUGGGAGCCGCCCCCACAUUCGCCGUUACAAGAUGGCGCUGACAUCCUGUGUUCUAAGUGGUAAA
rnacentral:lncRNA from 1 species